rnacentral:rRNA from 1 species
UACGUAGGGUGCAAGCGUUUAAUCGGAAUUACUGGGCGUAAAGCGUGCGCAGGCGGUUUUGUAAGUUUGUCGUGAAAUCCCCGGGCUCAACCUGGGAAUGGCGAUGAAGACUGCAAGGCUAGAGUUUGGCAGAGGGGGGGUAGAAUUCCACGUGUAGCAGUGAAAUGCGUAGAUAUGUGGAGGAACACCGAUGGCGAAGGCAGCCCCCCUGGGUCAAAACUGACGCUCAUGCACGAAAGCGUGGGGAGCAAAUAGG